rnacentral:lncRNA from 1 species
GGUGUGUGUGUGUGUGUGUGUGUGUGUGUGUGUGUGUGUGCAUGUGGGUGUGGAGAGUGUAUAUUUGAAAGCAGCCUCCUAUUAAAUCUUUUUGUUUGUUUGUUUUUUAUCUUCCCCAGACUUCUGAUUUCCGUGGAGGCUUUGGAGUGUAAGAGGAGCUCCUGGGGUCUGCGUGACAGAGGAGACUCACGGUGGAUGCUGAUCAUGCAUCUUCAGUGUCCUGAGGGAAGCAUGAUUUCUUUCUACGCCAGAAUCAGUCCUGCUCAGGAGGACUUGGGAGCAAACCUCCCACAGGGAGCAGCAUCUCCAGUUGCCCUGCAAGCCGGCUGCAUCCUGUUAGCCCAUUCAGUGUCACCCAAAGUCCUCUCAGAAAUUCCUGCUCACGUCUCAAAAGACACAUUGCAUGGUUUGGAAAACGCUGUAAACUCCCAGGAGAACGAGAGACCAAGAUUAUGGUUGACUGCUGCUAAUCGAAAGCAUGGACAGUGAGAUGAGACAGCAGAAGCAGUAAAACUGCUCUACUCAUAUCUGCAUGCUAGAAUGGUUAUUCUACUAAUGAAAGAGGUGGAAGACCAGUCUGUUCCCCGGGGCAGCAGGUAAGACAUUGCAAAAGCUCAGAGUGCAUGCAGGUAAUGAAAAAAAGAUGCAUGUCAA